rnacentral:rRNA from 1 species
GUGGGGAAUAUUGCACAAUGGGGGAAACCCUGAUGCAGCAACGCCGCGUGGAGGAUGACGCAUUUCGGUGUGUAAACUCCUUUUAUAAGGGAAGAUAAUGACGGUACCUUAUGAAUAAGCACCGGCUAACUCCGUGCCAGCAGCCGCGGUAAUACGGAGGGUGCAAGCGUUACUCGGAAUCACUGGGCGUAAAGGAUGCGUAGGCUGUAAUAUAAGUCAGAAGUGAAAUCCAACGGCUUAACCGUUGAACUGCUUUUGAAACUGUUUUACUAGAAUAUGGGAGAGGUAGAUGGAAUUGGUGGUGUAGGGGUAAAAUCCGUAGAUAUCACCAGGAAUACCGAUUGCGAAGGCGAUCUACUGGAACAUUAUUGACGCUGAGGCAUGAAAGCGUGGGGAGCAAACAGGAUUAGAAACCCCUGUAGUCC